AGCGAACGCUGGCGGCAGGCUUAACACAUGCAAGUCGAGCGGGCACUUUCGGGUGUCAGCGGCGGACGGGUGAGUAACGCGUGGGAACGUGCCCUCUGGUUCGGAAUAACUCAGGGAAACUUGAGCUAAUACCGGAUACGCCCUUUUGGGGAAAGGCUUGCUGCCGGAGGAUCGGCCCGCGUCUGAUUAGCUAGUUGGUGAGGUAACGGCACACCAAGGCGACGAUCAGUAGCUGGUCUGAGAGGAUGAUCAGCCACACUGGGACUGAGACACGGCCCAGACUCCUACGGGAGGCAGCAGUGGGGAAUAUUGGACAAUGGGCGCAAGCCUGAUCCAGCCAUGCCGCGUGAGUGAUGAAGGCCUUAGGGUUGUAAAGCUCUUUUAUCCGGGACGAUAAUGACGGUACCGGAGGAAUAAGCCCCGGCUAACUUCGUG
rnacentral:rRNA from 1 species